GACGAACGCUGGCGGCGUGCCUAACACAUGCAAGUCGAGCGACGAACUAGGGCUUUCCCUCGGGCAAAUCAGCGAACGGGUGAGUAACACGUUGGUGACCUACCCCUAUAACCGGGAGGAGUCCCGUAAACGCAUGCUAUUUCCGGAUGUGCGCUCUAUACUUCUUGUCUGUGCGUGAAUUAAGUUUCGUCCUUCGUAUCGUGAAAGUCUCGCGUCCCCUUGGUUUGUUGGUGGGGUAACGGGUUACAAAGCCCGCGAUGGGUAGCUGGUCGGAGAGGACGAACACAAACACUGGGAGUGAGAAACGGCCCAGACUCCUACGGGAGGAAGCAGUGGGGAAUCUUGCGCAAAGCGCGAAAGCGUGACGCAGCAACGCCGCGGGAGGGAAGAAGGCCUUCGGCUUGUAAACCCAUGUAAGCAGGGAGGAAGGAAAGGCCGUGAAUAGCCGACCGGACUGACGGUACCUCCACAAUAAGCCCCGGCUAACUGCGUG
rnacentral:rRNA from 1 species